GCUGAGCCUUAAACAUUGGUAGGCCCACCUUACAACCCUACCCGCCAGAGAACUACUAGUGAAAAACUUAAAACUCAAAGGACUUGGCGGUGUCCCACCUCGACCUAGAGGAGCCUGUCCUAUAAUCGAUACUCCCCGUUCAACCCAACCUGAACUAGCACAUUCAGCCUAUAUACCGCCGUCGACAGUCUACCCCAUGAGGGUUCAAUAGUAGACACAACAGUUGUUUAUCACUAAAACGUCAGGUCAAGGUGUAGCAAAUGUUUAGGAAAGUGAUUGGCUACAUUUUUUAAAAUAAAACAAACGAAAUGCAACAUGAAAUCAUGCACGAAGGUGAAUUUAGCAGUAAGAUAAAUAAGAGUGUUUAUCUUAACACCGCUCUGGGACGCGC
rnacentral:rRNA from 1 species